rnacentral:rRNA from 1 species
GUAGGUGGCAAGCGUUGUCCGGAAUUAUUGGGCGUAAAGCGCGCGCAGGCGGUUCUUUAAGUCUGAUGUGAAAGCCCACGGCUCAACCGUGGAGGGUCAUUGGAAACUGGAGAACUUGAGUACAGAAAAGGAAAGCGGAAUUCCACGUGUAGCGGUGAAAUGCGUAGAGAUGUGGAGGAACACCAGUGGCGAAGGCGGCUUUCCGGUCUGUAACUGACGCUGAGGCGCGAAAGCGUGGGGAGCAAACAGGAUUAGAUACCCUGGUAGUCCACGCCGUAAACGAUGAGUGCUAAGUGUUAGGGGGUUUCCCGCCCCCCUUAGUGCUGCAGCUAACGUAUUAAGCACUCCGCCUGGGGGAGUACGGCCGCAAGGCUG